AACGAACGCUGGCGGCAUGCCUAACACAUGCAAGUCGAACGAGACCUUCGGGUCUAGUGGCGCACGGGUGCGUAACGCGUGGGAACCUGCCCUUAGGUUCGGAAUAACUCCCCGAAAGGGGUGCUAAUACCGGAUAAUGUCUUCGGACCAAAGAUUUAUCGCUUUUGGAUGGGCCCGCGUUGGAUUCGCUAGUUGGUAGGGUAAAAGCCUACCAACGCGACGAUCCAUAGCUGGUCUGUGAGGAUGAUCAGCCACACUGGGACUGAGACACGGCCCAGACUCCUACGGGAGGCAGCAGAGGGGAAUAUUGGACAAUGGGCGAAAGCCUGAUCCAGCAAUGCCGCGUAAGUGAUGAAGGCCUUAGUGUUGUAAAGCUCUUUUACCCGGGAUGAGAAUGACAGUAACGGGAGAAUAAGCUCCGGCUAACUCCGUG
rnacentral:rRNA from 1 species